ACCCAAAUAUCUAAACGGAGAAAUUCAAUAUUACCCCCAAAAGGUAAUGUGCACUUUUCUCUUAGUAAGACGCCGUGAUCCAUUAGAAAUUGGUGCGUUCCCAACGUACACAUUGGGUCAUCACGAGGACGGCACGAAGUUUAUUCGGAACAAAUGGCGUGAUCUUUCACGGUCGCGUGUAUUGUCUGGUAAGCGUGUCCGACACCUGCAAUGACUGUCUGAUGGAUUUUAAGGACCGACAUCAAUGAUGCCUUUAUGACAUCAGUGCCCUUCGGGGCGCACUCACGAUAUGCGUGUCUGAUCAACGGCGGUUAAAUUUGGGAUACCUUUUGGACCCGUCUUGAAACACGGACCAAGGAGUCUAUCUAGUAUGCGAGUAAAUGGAUAGUUUUGAUGAAAUCUAUUUGCAUAAUAAACUUGACUGUUUUAUUUCAUGGGACUACGAUUAGUAAUUUUUAAUCGAGUUACUUUUCCUCCGUCCCGGGGUAUUUCUAUCAAACAUACGGCGCAAGUUGUAUGGGAAAUAUACCAUGAGCACACUGGAUACGACCCGAAAGAUGGUGAACUAUGCCUGAUCAGGUCGAAGUCAGGGGAAACUCUGAUGGAGGACCGAAGCAGUUCUGACGUGCAAAUCG
rnacentral:rRNA from 1 species